rnacentral:rRNA from 1 species
CAAUAGCGUAUAUUAAAGUUGUUGCAGUUAAAAAGCUCGUAGUUGGAUUUCUGGUUGAAGCGACCGGUCGGGCGUUGAUUCGUCUGAACUGGAGUCGGUUUUGGCCAUCCUCUAGGAAAGUGCGUCUGGUAUUAAGUUAUCGGGCGUAUGAUCCUGGUCUUUUACUGUGAAAAAAUUAGAGUGUUUAAAGCAGGCCUUCGCCUUGAAUACAUUAGCAUGGAAUAAUAAGAUAGGACUUUGGUCUAUUUUGUUGGUUUGCAGACCGAAGUAAUGAUUAAUAGGGAUAGUUGGGGGUAUUUAUAUUCCGAUGUCAGAGGUGAAAUUCUUAGAUUUUCGGAAGAUAAACUUAUGCGAAAGCAUUUACCAAGGAUGUUUUCAUUAA